rnacentral:rRNA from 1 species
AGGGAAUAUUGGUCAAUGGACGCAAGUCUGAACCAGCCAUGCCGCGUGCAGGAAGACUGCCCUAUGGGUUGUAAACUGCUUUUAUACAGGAAGAAACGCCUCUACG